rnacentral:rRNA from 1 species
UACGAAGGGGGCGAGCGUUGUUCGGAUUUACUGGGCGUAAAGGGCGCGUAGGCGGCCCUCCUAGUCGCGUGUGAAAGCCCGGGGCUCAACCCCUGGGAAUGCCGGUGGAUACUGUCGGACUCGAGUCCGGAAGAGGCGAGUGGAAUUCCUGGUGUAGCGGUGAAAUGCGCAGAUAUCAGGAGGAACACCGAUGGCGAAGGCAGCUCUCUGGGACGGUACUGACGCUGAGACGCGAAAGCGUGGGGAGCGAACAGG